AGAGUUUGAUUCUGGCUCAGGACGAACGCUGGCGGCGUGCUUAACACAUGCAAGUCGAGCGGUAAGGCCUUUCGGGGUACACGAGCGGCGAACGGGUGAGUAACACGUGGGUGAUCUGCCCUGCACUUCGGGAUAAGCCUGGGAAACUGGGUCUAAUACCGGAUAUGACCUCCUAUCGCAUGGUGGGUGGUGGAAAGAUUUAUCGGUGCAGGAUGGGCCCGCGGCCUAUCAGCUUGUUGGUGGGGUAAUGGCCUACCAAGGCGACGACGGGUAGCCGGCCUGAGAGGGUGAUCGGCCACAUUGGGACUGAGAUACGGCCCAGACUCCUACGGGAGGCAGCAGUGGGGAAUAUUGCACAAUGGGCGGAAGCCUGAUGCAGCGACGCCGCGUGAGGGAUGACGGCCUUCGGGUUGUAAACCUCUUUCAGCAGGGACGAAGCGUAAGUGACGGUACCUGCAGAAGAAGCACCGGCUAACUACGUGCCAGCAGCCGCGGUAAUACGUAGGGUGCGAGCGUUGUCCGGAAUUACUGGGCGUAAAGAGCUCGUAGGCGGUUUGUCACGUCGUCUGUGAAAUCCUAGGGCUUAACCCUGGACGUGCAGGCGAUACGGGCUGACUUGAGUACUACAGGGGAGACUGGAAUUUCUGGUGUAGCGGUGAAAUGCGCAGAUAUCAGGAGGAACACCGGUGGCGAAGGCGGGUCUCUGGGCAGUAACUGACGCUGAGGAGCGAAAGCAUGGGUAGCGAACAGGAUUAGAUACCCUGGUAGUCCAUGCCGUAAACGGUAGGCGCUAGGUGUGGGUUUCCUUCCACGGGAUCCGUGCCGUAGCUAACGCAUUAAGCGCCCCGCCUGGGGAGUACGGCCGCAAGGCUAAAACUCAAAGGAAUUGACGGGGGCCCGCACAAGCGGCGGAGCAUGUGGAUUAAUUCGAUGCAACGCGAAGAACCUUACCUGGGCUUGACAU
rnacentral:rRNA from 1 species